CAGCUCGCCAGCAGUGCCCCCGACAGUAAGCAGGGCUCGUCGGUGACAUCUUCCUGGGCAGCGUCCCCGCACAGGGUCUAACCACACCUGAGUCUACCGUUCAGUCAACUCUUCGCUGUAGUCGUCGUGCAAUGAAGAACGUGUUCCCACAAAACAAGGUCCUUGUCGGGAAGCCCUCCUCUGAACAAGGGUGUUUCUGCAGGUUGCGAGGCACCAACAAGAGCGCAAAGCCCUGGGAAAACAGAGCUGAAAACAGAGCAGAUUCUUCUGUAGCUGCGUACUUGGCAAGAAAGCGCGUUUGCCCUCUGCGCCUCGCAGGGUGAUGGGUAAGGUCUUGGACCCCAUGAUGCCCAUGCCCUGCUGCAGCCCCAUCACCCCCCUGACCCCUGAACCCAGCCAGGAGUGUCCCAUGUGCACCUUUCCCUCCCAGACUUGGGCUUUCGUGGAAUUCUGAGCCAAUCCUUUCAAUUGAGUGGAAACCACACAGGUUUUUCCGAAGCAGGAGGGAGGGGGCUGAGCUGAACCCCCCGGCAUGGCAUGGCCGGUGACUGGGAGAGGUAUCCAUGCCUUGGCCCCAGUUAGGUAACGAUACACGGGUUUAGUAACGGAGAGAAAUUACACCCCCAGGUUAGCACAGCUCAAAACGUGUCUGCCAAUAUUGGCUGGUGUUUGUUUGAGAUUCUCCUCCAGCUCUACAUGGUCUCGACAGAACGAAGCACAGCACGCAGGCGAGGGACCUGGCCUCACGCGGCAGACUUUGUAGCGGAUUGGGAUCAAACAGCAUUUUACACGAGGAAGUCGAGGGUUUGGUGGCUUAGAGAUGACCGAAGCUUUCAAGGGCCAGGCAGUAAAUCGUCCCUUGUUCAAGCCCUGCUCCGAAGAGCCUCGGGCUGUGGCUGAAGUGCGAUGCCGCUCAGUGGAUGCCGGCUGGGUUAUUGCAGGCAUGUCUUGAUAAAUACAGGGCAGCGUUUGGUCCACUUGCCGGGCACAGGGGGAGACCCCAGCUGCUUUCCUGGGUGUCGCAGCCCGUCUUCCGUGCCGCUGGCUCGCUCGCUGUGGCUGGAAGGCAAGAGGAGAGGGCAGAAAGCAGCUGCCGCAGCCGCCGGUUGCAGGGAUUUCUCCUCUCCAGUUUCUUUUUUCCCCCAUCUGCUUUGGCGAAGGACUUUGCUCUUUAGUCAUUUAUUUUUUUAAAAGAAAACCAAGAUCAAAAUCUCCGCUCCUCCAAGGGGCUUUAAUUGCUAACACUUUAGAGCAGGCAGGGCUGGUAAUCAUACUUUUUGCUCAGCAGCUUGAGGGGCUUGGAAACCACUUUGGAUGCUGUGAAAGGAGAGGAGAGGGACACCAUCUCCCAGGUAAACCUAGCGCGUGUCUUCAAACACUGGGACGAUGCCAGCGUUCACCACAACAGCCCGAAAUCCCAUGCCAGGGGCUGGGAGUGGUGGGGUUAAAACCACCCCUGGAGAAGCGCAGCCUCUUCACCUCCAGAAAUGCUUCUUAUGGAUCCUCCCGGACACCCCUCGGAGUCUAUAGGUGUUUGUCAGCACCAGGGGACAAACACCGGCCAAGGCCGUUAGCUCAUGGCAACAGCCAAUAUCAGGGUCUACUCCACCACGGGGAAGGGCGAGAGCAUCGUCACACCUGAAGCCUAAAUCUCCCCUAAAACCAUGCUAAGCACCUGGUUUAUUACUACCCAUGAUCUUCCUCCUGCAUAGGGACUUCUAAAGCCUUUCGUCAUCCCACGUACUCCUAUGCACAGAUCUGCCAGGUUGCCGCCAGUCCCUUGCAAGCAGAGCAGAGGUAGCGACCACGCCGUCAAUGUGGUGGACCUGCCAGCGGCUGCCCACCCUGCCAGCCUUCCCGCGCCACGGCUCCGUGGGCAGAACGUCAGCACCCGGAGGUGGAUGCUGCUAAGGAAGGAGAGAGAUAGAAGUCCUGAAAUUAUUUAUGGAGGAAAGAAAAGUAUUCUUAGCUGUUUCUUCAUUAACAGUUUGUGAAUCAAAUGUAGAAACUAAGGAUGCAGCCCAGCCGUCCCAUGGGGCAGCAUCGCAGCUCCAGCCAUGGACCCCCAGCCAGCAGAGCUGUUGGAUGGUUUGCAUUUCAGUGUGAUACCAAAGGCCAAAAUAAUUAACAUAGGCACAACCUGGACCUCAAGAAGCUCUCCAAAACCCCCGGUGCCUUGGGCAGCUGGCAGGUGUACUCCAGGUUUACAGGGGUUUUCACUUAGCUCCAAGCAAACAGGCUUAGCCAUAUUGUUUGCUGCUUGGAAAAUACAACAAGAAGAAUUUGUCCUUUAUUUUUCCCUCUUUUCCAAGUUUGCAUCGCCUCUGUGCUCCAUUCAGGUUCAGCGACAUGAACAGCCCCAGGCCAAGGACAACUGCACUGAGAUUGAGGUUAGCCGCUCACCUCUAUGUUGAAUACCAAAUUGAAUUGAGUGCAAUAUUUGCCUGGUCUGAGGUUUUCUGUAGCCAUCCUCCCACCAACGGCCAUACCCGUUCCUCCUCAUCCCAUCCCCACAAGCCUUUAUGAAUAGUUCCUCUCCAGCUUUCCUGUAGCCCCUUCAGGUACUGGAAGGUCGCUAUAAGAUCUCCUCUGAGCCUUCUCUUCUCCAGGCUGAACAACCCCAACUCUCUCAGCCUGUCCUUGUAGGGAAGGUGCUCCAACCCUCGGAUCAUCUUUGUAGCUCUCUUUGUAGGCUUUUUUUGUAGCAUCUUUGUAGCAUAAUAAGGACAGCUUUCAUUCUUUGGCAUUUCUUCUCCCUUGGUAUUAUCAGCGCUUGGAGGAAAAGCCAAAAUAACAGAGAAGAUUAGUGCAGCCACAAGUUAUUGGGCUCAAACCUGGUCUGCAGUGUAGGGAUGGAACGGGAUGCGCCUGCGAAUGCCGCACGCUGGGCGAGAGCGCAUUAACCCCCAGCUCGCUGUUAGAGCAGGGCUCUUCCCUCGUCCAUUAGGCAAAUGAGAUUGGCAGGGGUCGAAGCCUCACCUGAGAAACGAGCGUGGAGGAACGAGCCGGAGGUAAUUAGGGAAAUGUCAGAAAUUGUGAAAUUAGAGAUGAAAGCCUUCUGAGCAUGGAUCAGCGUGAGGCAGCUGAAGCGAGGAGCGGAGCCGACCCAGCCCUGGGUGAGGUCGCACCGCUGGGCAGACGAACGCGCCUGAAGCUCCGCCAGGGGAGGUUCAGGUUGGAUAUCAGAAAAAAAUUCUUCACAGAAAGAGUCAUGGGGCACUGGAACAGCUGCCCAGGGA